rnacentral:piRNA from 1 species
UGCCUGAUGGAGAAUUAAUAACAAUACUGG